CUUGCCUUUACUGGCUGGGAUCCAGAGCCGGCGCUGUUACUUUGAAAAAAUUAGAGUGUUCAAAGCAGGCCUGUGCUCUGAACAUAUUAGCAUGGAAUAACGCGAUCAUAGGACUCUGGUCCUAUUUCGUUGGUCUUCGGGAUUGGAGUMAUGAUUAAUAGAGACRGUUKGGMGCAUUCGUAUUCCAUUGUCAGAGGUGAAAUUCUUGGAUUUAUGGAUGACGAACGUCUGCAAAAGCAUUUGUCAAGGACGUUCUCAUUAAUCAAGAAUGAAAGUUGGGGGAUCGAAGACGAUCAGAUACCGUCYUAGUCUCAACCAUAAACGAUGCCGACCAGGGAUUGGCGGAUGUCUAUUGGAUGACUCUGCCAGCACCUUGUGAGAAAUCAAAGUUUACGGGUUCCGGGGGGAGUAUGCUCACAAGGCUGAAACUUGAAGGAAUUGACGGAAGGGCACCACCAGGCGUGGAGCCUGCGGCUUAAUUGGACUCAACACAGGGAAAUUCACCAGGUCGAGACAUAGCAAAGAUUGACAGAUUGAGAGCUCUUUCUUGAUUCUAUGGGUGGUGGUGCAUGGCCGUUCUUAGUUGGUGGAGUGAUUUGUCUGGUUAAUUCCAUUAACGAACGAGACCUCAGCCUGCUAAAUAGCUACGAGGGGACCUUUCCUUAUGGCCAGCUUCUUAGAGGGACUGUUGGACGACUAGCCAACGAAAGUUUGAGGCAAUAACAGGUUUGUGAUGCCCUUAGAUGUUAUGGGAUGCACGCGUGCUACACUGAUGAAUCCAACGAGUCGCUUGCCUGGGUCGAAAGGCACGGGUAACCUUCUUAAGGUUCAUCGUGACGGGGAUAGAUUGUUGUAAUUAUCGAUCUUGAAYGAGGAAUGCCUAGUAAGCGCGAGUCAUCAGCUCGCGCUGAUUACGUUCCUGCCCUUUGUACACACCGCCCGUCGCUCCUACCGAUUGAAUGGUCCGGCGAAAUGUCUGGAUUGCGGUGAUCUCGRCGGUUUGCCGCUGGGGGUGCUGUGAGAAGUUCAUUGAACCUUAUCAUUUAGAGGAAGGAGAAGUCGUAACAAGGUUUCCGUAGGUGAACCUGCGGAAG
rnacentral:rRNA from 1 species